UGGGGAAUAUUGGACAAUGGGCGCAAGCCUGAUCCAGCCAUGCCGCGUGAGUGAAGAAGGCCUUAGGGUUGUAAAGCUCUUUCAGCGGGGACGAUAAUGACGGUACCCGCAGAAGAAGCCCCGGCUAACUUCGUGCCAGCAGCCGCGGUAAUACGAAGGGGGCUAGCGUUGUUCGGAAUUACUGGGCGUAAAGCGCGCGUAGGCGGACAUCUAAGUCAGAGGUGAAAUCCCAGGGCUCAACCCUGGAACUGCCUUUGAUACUGAAUGUCUGGAGUUCGGGAGAGGUGAGUGGAAUUCCGAGUGUAGAGGUGAAAUUCGUAGAUAUUCGGAGGAACACCAGAAGCGAAGGCGGCUCACUGGCCCGAUACUGACGCUGAGGCGCGAAAGCGUGGGGAGCAAA
rnacentral:rRNA from 1 species